rnacentral:rRNA from 1 species
UCGAAAGACCUUGCGCUUAAGGAGCGGCCGAUGYCUGAUUAGCUAGUUGGUGGGGUAAAGGCCUACCAAGGCAACGAUCAGUAGUUGGUCUGAGAGGACGACCAACCACACUGGGACUGAGACACGGCCCAGACUCCUACGGGAGGCAGCAGUGGGGAAUUUUGGACAAUGGGCGCAAGCCUGAUCCAGCCAUGCCGCGUGAGUGAAGAAGGCCUUCGGGUUGUAAAGCUCUUUCAGUUGGGAAGAAACGAUUGCAACUAAUAAUUGUAAUUAAUGACGGUACCGACAGAAGAAGCACCGGCUAACUACGUGCCAGCAGCCGCGGUAAUACGUAGGGUGCGAGCGUUAAUCGGAAUUACUGGGCGUAAAGGGUGCGCAGGCGGUUUUGUAAGUCAGAUGUGAAAUCCCCGGGCUUAACCUGGGAAUG